rnacentral:rRNA from 1 species
CCCUUCCCGGGACCUCGACAGGCCGCACGGUCGUCGGAUCA